AGUGAACGCUGGCGGUAGGCCUAACACAUGCAAGUCGAACGGCAGCACAGUAAGAGCUUGCUCUUACGGGUGGCGAGUGGCGGACGGGUGAGGAAUACAUCGGAAUCUACUUUUUCGUGGGGGAUAACGUAGGGAAACUUACGCUAAUACCGCAUACGACCUACGGGUGAAAGCAGGGGAUCUUCGGACCUUGCGCGAGUGAAUGAGCCUAUGUCGGAUUAGCUAGUUGGCGGGGUAAAGGCCCACCAAGGCGACGAUCCGUAGCUGGUCUGAGAGGAUGAUCAGCCACACUGGAACUGAGACACGGUCCAGACUCCUACGGGAGGCAGCAGUGGGGAAUAUUGGACAAUGGGCGCAAGCCUGAUCCAGCCAUACCGCGUGAGUGAAGAAGGCCUUCGGGUUGUAAAGCCCUUUUGUUGGGAAAGAAAAGCAGCAGGUUAAUACCCCGCUGUUCUGACGGUACCCAAAGAAUAAGCACCGGCUAACUUCGUG
rnacentral:rRNA from 1 species